rnacentral:rRNA from 1 species
UACAGAGGGUGCAAGCGUUGUUCGGAAUUAUUGGGCGUAAAGGGCGCGUAGGCGGUGCGGUAAGUCUGGAGUGAAAUCUCUGGGCUCAACUCAGAGUCUGCUGCAGAAACUGCCGUGCUUGAGUGUGGGAGAGGUGAGUGGAAUUCUCGGUGUAGCGGUGAAAUGCGUAGAUAUCGGGAGGAACACCUGUGGCGAAAGCGGCUCACUGGACCACAACUGACGCUGAGGCGCGAAAGCUAGGGGAGCAAACAGG